AGUAUAGGUUUCAUUAACCCUAAAAUUAUAUCGUUCUAUUCUUCCCACCUAUUUGAGCAAGACUAACCCUAAAAAUUUUCAAGUCAUCUUUCCAUUACAUCCUUAGCCAAAUCUAUACCACUCUUCACUCUCAUCUUUGAUCACCAUCAUCUUAUGUCUAUCGAUCCAAGUAGCUUGAUGUAUUUGAGGUAAGAAACUCUACAUUAACUUAUUUAUUGAUCACAAUAGGAGAAUUUUCGUAGGUCUCCUUUUCUUAUUUUUCAGAAUGAAACAUGUCUCAGUAAAACUGUCAUAUCUCUUUAAAUACUCAUCUGAUUCUCGCAAUCUUGGUGUCUAUAGAAAGCUUAUUAAAUUUCCUAUAAUUCUUAUGAAGAAAGAUUUUACAGAAUCGAAAUUUAUCUAUGUCAAAAAUUAGUAUUUUUACGCUGUUUGUUGUAAAUCGUUUUUCAUAUUUUCUAUAUAAGUUGUUUCAGUAAAAUCCGAAUAUCUCUCUGAAUAAUGAUCCGAUUCUAGCGAUCUUGGUACUGUUGAAGAGAUAAUUCAAUUUUCCAAAUGUUUUAUGAAGAAACCAUUCACUAAUUAUUGAUUAUUCUAAGUCAAAAUUAUUGUUUUAUUGCUGUAGUUCGAAAUCCAUUUGUUUCAGGAUUUCUAGAAAACUGUUUCGGUAUAAUAUCUAUAUCUCUUACGUUAUAACUCCGAUUUUAAAGAUUUUAGUGUCAUUAGAAAGGGAAUUUGAUUUUCUAAAACUUUUAUGAAGAGAGUAUUCUCUGAUUUGGAAUAUUUCAGUAUCAAAACUUUGUAUUUUCGAUGUCUCCUGUGAUUCGUUACUCCAUAUUCCUUCUCAGAAAUAGUUUCAGUAAAACUAUCAUAACUCCCUCAGUUUUAAUCCAUUUUUAAUGAUCUAUAUAUCGUUGGAAAGAUAAUUAAAUUUCCUAUAAUUUUUAUGAAGGAAACUUUUACUGAAUUCGUGUAGUUAUUGGUCAAAAAUAGUAUUCUUUCUGCUGUACUGUAAGAGUGUGAAUUUUAAUGUUAGGGCCUUGACCCAUGUGUUAUUAUAGGUAGUAGUGACGAGAUAACAAGUUUAAGCAGCGGGAUUUGAGGUAUUAGACAGGGAAGUAUGUAUAGUGAGCAGGGUCAGUUCUGGUACGUAUACUGUGAGCGGCUACGGGCGGACAAACGAUCUAGAACGCCAGUGGUGCCUUAGUUUUAUUUUAAGCAGUUGAUAAAUCUAACACAGUGGAAAUGCAUUAUUUAAAAUUAUUUACUUACUGUAUCUUGUUUUACAAAUGAAGGAUCCUUCUCUGUUGCAUUUUGAUUUUUUUUAAAAUCCACUGUUGUAUUUAAAUUAUUUUUUUUUUAUCUUUUCAAAUUAUGCAUGAAAAUAGUAUUUUUGUAAAAUAAGGCAAAAUAUCGGGGCGUUACAGUUGGUAUCAGAGCCGAUCGUCCGUUAGCCCGAAGGAUACUCACGGUAUACAUACAGAAGACUGAAAAAGAUCCCUCUCACUAUUAUGUAAGUGUUAGUUUUAAUUUUCUUGGUAUUGCCAUUAAUAGUUUUAUAUGUGAUACAUAGAUUUUUGUUAAAAUAUGUUUCCUAGAAUUAGUGGCUCAUCUGUAGUGGGUGCUUAGAGAAAUUAAGAGUAUAUUACCUGUUAUGAUUGAUUACACUUUUUUAUGAAGAAUAUGAAUAGGUUUUAUUUUUCUUUAUUGUCUUGAAUUGAAACUAGGAAGGACAGUGUUCCUUUCUUGAAAAUUUAGAAUAAAUUAUAUUAGGAAUUCAUAAGAUUUUGUUUGAUAAAUAGAAUAGUACUAGUUAAGCUUGACAACAUUAAGUUUAGAUAUAUUCAUGGAAUCUUCUCUCCCUAUAAUUGAACUCUUUUGUUUCUAUUAAAUUAACCUUUCUUGUAAGAGCUCACACAUGAAACUAGAAGAUCAGUUAGAAUCAAUGUGAAAAGAACGACCAAUAGAGGUGGGGGCUAAGGAUGUGUGUUCCGCUGACCCACAGAUGGUUGAUGUUCUAGAAAACCCAAUAAUAGUUAAGGCUAACGAUCUAAUAGAGGUAUUGGAAGGACUACGAGCAUGACUAAGGCAAUUUGUUGAAGAGUUUUCACAGGCUCAGCAAAAUAUCACCAACACUAGUAGUGGAACUUGAAGCACAUAAUGAAAUGUACCAAUAGCCAACUAAGUACCGACGCAUAUAUUUUCACCUAUCUAUGAAUGGUUGAAGAAGCGGUCUCUACACCUAGCCAUGAAUGGAAGCCCAACAUAUAGGAAGUAGGGAUGACUUAGAAUAGUAGACGUUAUACCAGACUGGGACAGUAUAAUUUACGAAACCUACUUAUUAAGAAGGAUGAAAUAAUAGAUCUUUAAGGAGAAGGUACUAUCUUGUUGGAUAUUCUAUAAGUUACACACUCUUAAGUUAGAUGGUAAGAAGUAUGAGUACUGUAUGCAAAGACAUUGGAGAUAAGUAUGUUAUAGAAAUGAGUCAGGAGAGGACGAUGCCAUCAUAUAGAAAGGAGUGUAGUGUGCUGAAUAGAAUCCAAAAUGAGAAGUUAGAAAGAGACAUGAUAAAAUUACUAGAGGUAAUAACUUAUGAAGGUAUCUUAAACACUAAGAGAUAAGCAGAGCAUCAACAAAUAUUAGAUUACCGAAGGAAAGUUGUAAACUUUAAACUCAAGGUCAUCUACUUGGUGGAGGAGAUAAUAGAGAAAAAUGUGUAUGGCUUCGACAGAGACAUUUUCAAAGGAGAAAGACAAAAAAAAGGUCCAGGCACAGCUAACAAUUUGGGUACAACAUGAAUGAGAGACAACUAAGAGGGUGACUACUCGGAAUUGAUCACAACUACACAACUAAGAGAUUGUGGAUGCAGCUUUGUGGCGGGUGUACAACAAACAACUAUAGAGAGUAGAUCGCAAAUUCAAAACUUGAGAAAGAGGAGGAAUUAGCAUUCAAGGGUGACAUCCCUAGAUUCCAAAUACUCACUGAUGCAACAACAAUGGUGUGGAGUAUAGCUCAAUGAGAAAAUGUUAGGAAAGCCUCACUUAGAGACAGGAGAAAAGUGAGACACAAUUAGGACCAAAGUAACAUAUAUUGAAGAAUGUCAUGGCAUGUCAAGGACUAUACAAGUUUUUGAUAAGUGUUGGGAUUAGAAAAUACACUCAUGCAACAUAAAGGAAUUCAAGGCACAACGUAAGCAAUGGAUACUACAAUCCAAUUACGACUUAUAUUAUGGGCAAUAGUAUAAGUAUGUUGGAGUGUCAUCUAAUGAGAAACUAAGAGGAAAACUCACAAAGUCCAGCCCUGCUGAAAAGAGAUGGUGUUUCUAGGCCCUAUAGUGCCCGAGAAGAAAAUGACUAUGGAUUUGUCAAAAGCUAAAAUUGUUAAGAGCAAAAAAAAAAAGGAAAAA